rnacentral:rRNA from 1 species
GACGAACGCUGGCGGCGUGCUUAACACAUGCAAGUCGAACGAAGAGCGAUGGACGCUUGCUUCUAUCAAUCUUAGUGGCGCACGGGUGAGUAACGCGUAAUCAACCUGCCCUUCAGAGGGGGACAACAGUUGGAAACGACUGCUAAUACCGCAUACGAUCUAAACUCGGCAUCGAGGAUAGAUGAAAGGUGGCCUCUACAUGUAAGCUAUCACUGAAGGAGGGGAUUGCGUCUGAUUAGCUAGUUGGAGGGGUAACGGCCCACCAAGGCGAUGAUCAGUAGCCGGUCUUAGAGGAUGAACGGCCAAAUUGGGACUGAGACACGGCCCAGACUCCUACGGGAGGCAGCAGUGGGGAAUCUUCCGCAAUGGACGAAAGUCUGACGGGGCAACGCCGCGUGAGUGAUGACGGCCGUCGGGUUGUAAAGCUCUGUUAAUCGGGACGAAAGGCCUUCUUGCGAAUAGGGAGAAGGAUUGACGGUACCGGAAUAGAAAGCCACGGCUAACUACGUG